CACAAACUGGCAGAAAUAAUGCACACGAUUUAAGCUCGUUUUAUAAGACUAUAUUCUUGUUUGUGU
rnacentral:tRNA from 2 species